GAUGAACGCUGGCUACAGGCUUAACACAUGCAAGUCGAGGGGAAACGACGGGGAAGCUUGCUUCCCCGGGCGUCGACCGGCGCACGGGUGAGUAACGCGUAUCCAACCUGCCUCUGACUGAGGGAUAACCCGUCGAAAGUCGGCCUAAUACCUCAUGGCAUCGUCUGCGGGCAUCCAACGACGAUUAAAGAUUUCAUCGGUCAGGGAUGGGGAUGCGUCUGAUUAGCUUGUUGGCGGGGUAACGGCCCACCAAGGCUACGAUCAGUAGGGGUUCUGAGAGGAAGGUCCCCCACAUUGGAACUGAGACACGGUCCAAACUCCUACGGGAGGCAGCAGUGAGGAAUAUUGGUCAAUGGGCGGGAGCCUGAACCAGCCAAGUAGCGUGCAGGAUGACGGCCCUAUGGGUUGUAAACUGCUUUUAGGCGGGGAUAAAGUGAGGGACGUGUCCUUCAUUGCAGGUACCGCAUGAAUAAGAACCGGCUAAUUCCGUG
rnacentral:rRNA from 1 species